GGAAAGAUGCCGGAGUGGUCGAUCGGGCCGCACUCGAAAUGCGGUGUAUGGGUGACUGUACCGGGGGUUCGAAUCCCUCUCUUUCCGCCA
rnacentral:tRNA from 1 species